rnacentral:rRNA from 1 species
GACGAACGCUGGCGGCGCGCCUAACACAUGCAAGUCGAACGAGCGAGAGAGAGCUUGCUUUCUCGAGCGAGUGGCGAACGGGUGAGUAACGCGUGAGGAACCUGCCUCAAAGAGGGGGACAACAGUUGGAAACGACUGCUAAUACCGCAUAAGCCCACGACCCGGCAUCGGGUAGAGGGAAAAGGAGCAAUCCGCUUUGAGAUGGCCUCGCGUCCGAUUAGCUAGUUGGUGAGGUAACGGCCCACCAAGGCGACGAUCGGUAGCCGGACUGAGAGGUUGAACGGACACAUUGGGACUGAGACACGGCCCAGACUCCUACGGGAGGGAGCAGUGGGGAAUAUUGCACCAUGGGGGAAACCCUGAUGCAGCGACGCCGCGUGGAGGAAGAAGGUAUUCGGAUUGUAAUCUCCUGUUGAUGAGGAAGAUAAUGACGGUACUCAAUAAGGAAGUGACGGCUAACUACGUG